CCCUUAGAUGUUCUGGGCCGCACGCGCGCUACACUGAUGAAUUCAACGAGCUCCUAACCUAGGCCGAAGGGUCCGGGUAAUCUUUGAAAUUUCAUCGUGAUGGGGAUAGAUUAUUGCAAUUAUUAAUCUUCAACGAGGAAUUCCUAGUAAGCGCGAGUCAUCAGCUCGCGUUGAUUACGUCCCUGCCCUUGUACACACCGCCCGUCGCUCCUACCGAUUGAAUGGUCCGGUGAAAUGUUCGGACCGCGACAAGGCGGACGGUUCGCUGUCAGCUUUGCUGCGGGAAGUUCAUUAAACCUUAUCAUUUAGAGGAAGGAGAAGUCGUAACA
rnacentral:rRNA from 1 species